rnacentral:tmRNA from 1 species
GGGGAUGAAAGGAUUUCGACGGGGGUUUUGAAUCUCGAUAAGCGUGCAGAGUAUGCGAAUCUCUUUAAAAGCGCAGACGUUUAGAAAUAAACGACAACACUCAUACUGAAUUAGCAGCUGCCUGAGGGCGCUGCCGUGGAUCGCCGGAGCUAUCGGUGACCGGCGAAUCCGCGUGGACUAACCGAUGAACGUGCGCGUUGAUUGCGGAUGAAGGUCGCGCCACGCAAAUAUUCAUCCUGCUUCUUUGCAAGGCAGCUUCCUGCCGUGCCUGGAUUAAGAUAAAGCGGAAGAUAAGCACGUAGAAAGUCUUGACGACGAAUUUUCGGACGCGGUUUCGAUUACCGCCAUCUCCACCA